rfam:Schistosoma margrebowiei strain Zambia genome assembly, scaffold: SMRZ_scaffold0000118
AUACAACUGACGAGUCUCGAACAGAACGAAACACACGUCCUGUAU